rnacentral:piRNA from 1 species
UACUGGAACAGGAUCUCCAUUGUGGCUGGU